rnacentral:rRNA from 1 species
CCUACGGGAGGCAGCAGUAGGGAAUCUUUCACAAUGGGCGAAAGCCUGAUGGAGCAACGCCGCGUGCAGGAUGAAGGCCUUCGGGUUGUAAACUGCUUUUAUAAGCGAGAAAUAUGAUGGUAACUUAUGAAUUAGGAUCGGCUAACUACGUGCCAGCAGCCGCGGUCAUACGUAGGAUCCGAGCAUUAUCCGGAGUGACCGGGUGUAAAGAGUUGCGUAGGUGGCAUAAUAAGUAGCUAGUGAAAUCUGGUGGCUCAACAAUUCAGACUAUUAGCUAAACUGUUAAGCUCGAGACCGUUAGGGGUAACUGGAAUUUCUAGUGUAGGAGUGAAAUCCGUAGAUAUUAGAAGGAACACCAAUAGCGUAGGCAGGUUGCUGGGACGGUUCUGACACUAAGGCACGAAAGCGUAGGGAGCAAACGGGAUUAGAUACCCGGGUAGUC